ensembl:lncRNA
AAAAAAUAGUAAUAAAAUGGAAAAACUGUCACUUCAUCUUUUGACAGCCGUCCAUCAAGUCAUCUAUUACCAAGCGUGAUAACCGUAAACGUGUACAAUGUGUAAGUGUCACUGGCUGUCAGUCUCCAUAGCGAUUUCAGUGUGUGUUACUAUAUGCAGUAUAUACCGAGCUGAUGUAGCUGUUUUGUCCUUUGUCUUCUCUGUGCUCUAGUCUGGGGUUGGACAGGGAACGUUUGUAACCCUCUCCGUCUCCUCUGCAGUCUUAGUGAACCCGUGGAGGUUAGUGGAUUUCGUGUGGUGGCCUUCCAAUGUAGUUUCACCUUUUUUGCUGCUUCCUUUUGUCUGUAUUUCCUUCAGUUUCUGCUGUUGCUUUGCUGUUGUGUAGUCUACAGACCUCUCCUUCUCUCAGAGAUAAAAGAUUCUUAACUAGCUCAAAGGUUUAAGGAGCCAUUUUUUUGCCACUGAGGAAUUCUGGGAUUACAAUUUCCAGCUUGCAUUUACCUACACUACGAAAAAUGACGACAAAAAGCUAAAGUAGCAUUUAGAUGUAUCUUCUAGACUGGAGAACCAUAAAAGCCUCAGUUGUGAAACAUUCCCAGAGUCCCUUGUGCUUCUUGUAUGCAUUGGGUGUAUUUCAUUGGUUUCCACCAAACCUGUUGACUUCAAGGACCCUGCAACUCACAGGACGAAAAGAUCACGGUAGUAUUUCAGGACAAUAAACAAUUUUAAAGAUUUCUAAAGAAAUGAAAAGAAAAAAUAUUUCGCACUAUAAAUCUAUUUUUAUAGGUGUUUUGGAAAUGCAUGUUUACUAAGUUGAUUGUUUGGUUUACUUGAUUUUGUUCGGGCCAGCAGCUUUGUCUCAACGUUCAGUGUUUUUUAGUCUGUCCAGCAAAGGGAGGGGGAGCCUUUGUCUUUUGAACUGAAUCAGACUACUCCCCUACAUCAGGAAACAGUGUCUGUGGUUUCUGUGAAGAUGUGAUGUUACUUAAAUCCAGGUCAUGAAAUAAAUGUGUUUUUAAAAAAAAGAUGGAAAAUUGCGAGUCGGUUGGUUGCGAUGGUGGAAUGGUUGCAGGAGAGCUUGGUGUCACCACUGGAGAUUGAUGCUAUCCUAGAUUUUAGUGUUUUCUAUGCCGUAGCAAAGUGGGUUGGGAGAAGGAGACUGUCGGGUCGGGGGCAGCUCUAAAACAGACUGUGGACAGACCAGGAAAUACACCCAUAUGUUACAACAGAACAGCAGGAUGAGCUGUUUUAAUGUCUCUGUGUUGUGUCAAAAUGAACUGCUGGUGAUUUAAACUUAAACUAAUCUCAGCUACUGUCAGAAACAUAGUGUUUAAAUUACAAUAUGAAAAAUCACUUCAUUACCUGUGAAGACUGUGUCUGUGUUUUUAACUAUUUCUUGUACAAUUAUACAGAUUCUUUUAUGAGGAACUUGGUGCCAAGUAGAUGAAUACUACAUGAGAAGGGGAUUCUCUUAGUAUCAAUGUUAACAGUGUUAUAAAUUCUAAAUACAAACAAAUUAAAAUAUUAAAAAGAGAAAACUAUGGUACAUUUAUUAUUUUAUUUGUUUUGUUUUUUUCUUUGAAGAAAAAAAAACAUAACUAACUGAAGCUAACUUUGAGUGCCUGGC